UCUCCCACUCGCCGCCGCACUUCCCCUUGUGUUCGGUUCCCGCUUCCUCCCACCCCUUCCUGGCUUCGGCCGCUGGCGGGCCGGGGGCCUUUCCCUUCCGGAAUGGCCGGAGGAUCCUCUAACUCUACUGCUCCCGCUCCUCCGCCUCGUCCGAUAAGAGAAAGGGUUCCCCGACCAGGGAUUGAACCGGCAUCCCCUGCGGCAUCCCCUGCGUUGCAAGACGGAUUCUUAACUACUGGACCACCUGGGAUGUACCCAUUAAGUGUAACUGUGAUUUAUCUGAUUACUUCUAAAGAAGAAUAUCAAAUUGCUUCCGGGUUGAGAGCAGUUUUUGUAGACAGAGUUUUGAAUGCCAUUACCAGAAGUCAUGUGGGUUUUUAAGGAAGCUGUGUGUUAGGAAGGUAACACUUGGUAGCACUGUGAAUGGUAGUCUGGCAUAGCAGGGGAGUAGAAAGAGUGGGACCAAGAUGCCAAGAGGCAGAACAAGUGUAGUUGGAAUGGAAUUGUUAUAUAGAAUGUUGUUGAAAUUAAAAAUAAUAAUAAUAAAAAAGGGAAGGUGGGUAUAUGUCCUGGGUAAGCUUUGCCUUGAUGAAAAUUAUUUUAAAUAUUAUAAAGAAAAUGCCCUAUGUUCUAAGAGAGAGAAGAAUUCUGAAAAUAUUUAGUAUUGUGCCCUCUUCGUUUCCCCCUCCUGACUCCCAAAAAAGUGGGGUGGGGGGAGGAGUGUUUGGCUGUCUUUUAUAAUUUUGGAGGGGGGCAAGAUUCGUAUAUGUACUGUAUGUAUAGGUAUUUAUAUCUUGCUCUGACCCAGAAAGGAUUGAGACUUUUAAGAAUGCUUUAGUCACAUUUUAAAAGUAGCACGGUAUUUGCAUUAAAGGUGGAUGACAAGGGAGAAUAAGGAUAGAGAUAUAAAACAGCAAGAAAUUAGGGUACUAAAACAGCUCUUACGGAAGGAAGUACAGUGAUUUUUGGAUUU